CAAGCUGCUAAGCCCUGAGGCCUGCUUUCUCUUUGUGGAAAGAUUUCAGCUCAGCGUGGCCUCCUCCUGCAUAGGGCAGAGUGGAGGAUGCUGGUCCUGCCUCUCACCUUAGCUUGGAGCAGGGCUCCUGCCUCCACCCGGUGCUUUUCAACAUCUCUCUCCCACUGAAUUCUGAUCGUCUCAAGGAUGUCGUCCAGACCAGUGCCAAUGGGAACAUCCAUUUGUUCCAGCUCACACCCUGCCAACUGUUUGUGCAGCACCUUCACAUCCUGAAAACAACAAUAUACAUCUUAAGUGAGUUACAGGGGGAAAUAAAUGGCAUAGAAUUCUAGCCAGCAGGAAACCAGCUCUGUGGGCAAUUCUUUUCUCAUUCCACGACUGCCAGACACAGGCUUCACAGAGAUUGGGAAAGUCCUUGACCUUCUUCCCAGGUGCCAAGACUGGCUGCCUUCCCGUUUCCGUACCACACUGGUUCCUGAAGCUAUUUGAGUUUGAGACUGCUGGGGUAACCUGACCCACUACAAGGAUCUGAAAGUAUUUUACAGUUGGUUGAAUCCAUGGAUGUGGAACCCAUGGUAUGAAGGACCGACUGUACUUUGCACUAGUGGUUCUCAAAGUGUGGGUCCUGGACCAGCGGCAGCAGCAUCACCUGGGAACUUGUGAGAAAUGCACAUUUCAGCCCCUGUUUCAGAUGAACCUAUCAGAAUCUCUGCAGGCUGGAGUGCAAUGGUGUGAUCUCGGCUUGCUGCAACGUCCACCUCCUGGGUUAGAGCAAUUCUCCUGCCUCAGCCUCCUGAGUAGCGGUGAUUACAGGGCUUCUGAGGCGAUCGGGCAGCGUCAGUCUUCAGCCGCUAAGCCGAGAAGGAGUCAGAGAGCCUUAGGCCAGAGUUCCAGGGGCGCUGGGAGUGGCUGCCAGGGAGGUUGUGAGGAUCUAGAGGAUACAGCCAUGGAGAACAUGCUGGGUUCCUUGAGCUGCUAAGCACUGAAGUCCUGCCAAUGGUGACAGAGGUUUAAGGAGAACAUUGCAAUUGCACAGUCAAAAUGAUCCUUGGAAAUUCUUUAGAAGGGCGCCAUCUUGGAUGGAGACCCACAAUCAAUAAAACCAGCAUGGCUGGGAGUUUUCUCCAGCAUUUGAAUGAAUUGUGUUUCUUUGGUUGAACCAUGAUGAGAUAAUUGGCAUAAACCAGGAGUCAUGCAUGGUAUCUGGAAACUUCCUCACUUGAAACACCAGCACCAUGCUCAGCAUGCAUACUCCUCUCAUCAUGAGAGGCACAUGGGAAAUGAGUCAGCCUGUCUGGAAAGGAAGCACAUGCAUGCUUUCCAUCUCCCACUCAGUACUGGACGUGAGGCUAUGCCAGCACCACUUAAUGCCAGCACCACUUAAAUGAUGUUUCUGUCUCUCUGCCCUGUACUUGCUGGAGGCACGUGCCCAUAUCACAUAGGGUGUCAGGGCAGAGGGCUCUUAGGAAGAGCUGAGCUGUGGGGACUUCCUCCCACGCAGAAGAGGGAGGCCUCCGCAGAAUUCUCUGCCACGUGCUUCUAGGCUUCCUCAACUCAGAAGUUUUAUUAUAGAGUUUUAGAAUGUGAAGAGCUCUUGGAAAUCAUGAAAGAUGAAGAAUCAAGGUGGAAGUUUGAUGGCUUGUCCCAGGCCCCAGAGUGGACCCUUUGCUUUUUGGAAUCCAACAGCAAGGACUCAUGGGAAUAUCGUGGGCUUUCACUUGGAGAGACAGGGCUCAAACUUCAUCUUUUCACUUAGUGAUUGUGUAAUUCUCUAAAAGUCUCCCUAUUUGUAGAAAGGGGAUAAGGGAGCUUUCUUUCCUGGAUUGCAAGAUGAUUAAAAGAGAUGUAUAUAUAAAGGGA